AGGUGGUGCAUGGUUGUCGUCAGCUCGUGUCGUGAGAUGUUGGGUUAAGUCCCGCAACGAGCGCAACCCACGUUAGUUGCUAACGCGUGAAGGCGAGCACUCUAGACGAACUGCCGUUGACAAACGGAGGAAGGUGGGAUGACGUCAAAUCAUCAUGCCCCUUAUGUUCUGGGCUACACACGUGCUACAAUGGCCGGUACAGACGGACGCAAAGCCGCGAGGUGGAGCAAAUCCUAAAAAGCCGGGUCUCAGUUCGGAUUGCAGGCUGCAAUUCGCCUGCAUGAAGUCGGAAUCGCUAGUAAUCGCAGGUCAGCAUACUGCGGUGAAUACGUUCCCGGGCCUU
rnacentral:rRNA from 1 species